UGUCCGCUCCUCCACGCACCCGCGCGCAUCUCCAACGCAUCCAUCGACGCACACACGCGCACGCACAGAUACGCAGAGAGGCAGCCGAGGGCACGAGUGAAAGUCGCGACACGCGCGCUCGUCCCGCAUCCUUGGUUCUUGGAAAGUUGAUCUUCGCUGAUUGACGCACACGCCCACACAUACAUGUACAUAUAAGCGCGCCAAGCGUGUUGGUGCGGCAUCACGAAGGCCCUCUUCGAGAGGAAAAGCGGAGCUCCCGCUCCUUGCCCUACGGACGAAAGAGGGGACGCGGGCGUGCGUGUAUUGCGUAGAGCACACGUGCCCCACACAGGCAUACACACACACAGAGAGAGAGAGAGAGACAGAACGAGGGGGUGGGCAUCGGUAAGCGUUGCGGUGGCACCCUACGCACCUAGACACCACACGCAGACAGCGAGACACCGCCCACCCCGCCCAUCCGCAUGCAGCCGCUCAAGCGUAUCCGUCACCCCUCCGGCUCAGAGAUCCUCUUCGAUGCCAAGUGGCAUCAGUACAAGCUGGGCGGCACGACUUUGCGCUCCGUCUCAAAGUUGCUUGACCGCUUCUUUCCCUUCGACGAGAAGCGCGUGCUGGAGCUGGUCUCCAAGAAGACGGGGCAGCCGGUGGACAAGAUCAAGCAGGGCUGGUCACGGCAGGCCCUCCUCGGCAAGAACGUGCACGAGUUUAUCGAGUGCAAGCUGCUCAAGAAACCGCCGCCGACCUUUACGCUGCUGAUGAAGCGCAAGCAAGCCCGAGAGGCAGCACGGCCGGCGGACGCGACAGGACCCGCAGCCAUCACGACGACACCUCUUGAAGACGAGGUGCUGCACGGAGAGGAGGCUCUAUACCUGCCAGUGGCCGAGAUGGCCGUAGAGAAGGUGCUGAGCGCCUACGACGUGCUCGGCGCGGAGCAGGUGAUUGCAGCACCCGGGUGGGGCAUUGCCGGCACGAUCGACUUCAUGGGCCGAAACCGCCGCACGAACCGCGUGCUCAUCGGCGACUGGAAGACGACAGGAGGCGUCACGAGCAACUUCCGCUUUGGUGCGUUUGAAACGGCGUGCCCCGGCGCGCUGCGGCACCUGCCGAACAGCAAGACGUACCGAUACGCAAUGCAGGUGAUCAUCUACGGAGAGAUCCUGGCCCGGGAGCAGUACUUUGAAAAGCAGUUCUUCGACGCUCAGCUGCGUGCGUCGCUAACGGCGUCGUUGGCCGUCCCCAGCACGGAUGUGAUGCCGCCAGCGCCACCGGCGAAGACCAGAGGGCGUCCGAGCAGCCAGGCCGCGGCGCCCGCGAAGUCCGACAUCGGAAGCGAUGUCGAGAGUCUGUUGAAGACCUUCUACCACAACAGCACCGAGCAGCGCUUCGAGUACGGCAUUGUGCAGCUGGCCAAGGGAGAGGACGGCGGCGUGGUGGCGGAGUUCAAGGAGGUCACGCCAUCGACGGUGAUGCCGCCAGAUUGCCCUGAGAUGACCUUUGACAGCUUGCUGCAGCGUGUGAUGGAAGGGGUUGGGGUUUAGGAGAGAGAAAGUCACGUUUCGGUGUGUUCCCCUUCUCCCCUCACAGAUCCUUCCUCUCACACCCACCCGAGCAUUAUUAUCGCACUCCACCGCCACAGUUGUAGUGCUCCAUCUCCCUUCAGUCGUGAGUACCGGCAGUUGUGUGUGUGUGUGUGUGGGGGGGGGGGGGUCCAGUGAGAAAGAGGGGCGGGGCCGCCUGAGGAUGCAGCCGAUGGCGAGGGUGUGUGAGAUCUUGCCUACCAUUCAGAGCACGCAGCGUGACGCUGUGAUCGCGAUGUGCGUGUGCGCGUGCAGAGGUGUGCGUGCUGCUGCACAGCUAUGUUGUUUCUGCUCACAAGUCGGAAGGCUGAGGAUAAUGAUUUGCUGCCCUCCCCCGCCCCUCCCAUUUCCUCCACCCUUCCACGGGGCUCAUACAGAAAACAG
rnacentral:misc_RNA from 1 species